GGAUUAGAUACCCUGGUAGUCCACGCCGUAAACGAUGUCUACUAGCCGUUGGGGAACUUGAUUCCUUAGUGGCGCAGCUAACGCACUAAGUAGACCGCCUGGGGAGUACGGCCGCAAGGUUAAAACUCAAAUGAAUUGACGGGGGCCCGCACAAGCGGUGGAGCAUGUGGUUUAAUUCGAUGCAACGCGAAGAACCUUACCAGGUCUUGACAUCCUGAGAAUCCUGUAGAGAUACGGGAGUGCCUUCGGGAAUUCAGUGACAGGUGCUGCAUGGCUGUCGUCAGCUCGUGUCG
rnacentral:rRNA from 1 species